rnacentral:lncRNA from 1 species
CUCAGAGGAGCCCUGGCUGCCUUGGAGCCCACAUGGGCAGCCCUGUCCUGACAUGCCCCUGCCCCUUUGCUGCCCUGCCUUGCACUCUGUCUCGCGGCGGCCAGAUGUGCCGGCUUUGGUGCUGGCGGCUCUUAAUGAGGUCCAGAUGUGCAGCUUGGCCCGGGCCAGCAGAAUUUUUCAUAACAUGUGGGCAAAUGUGGUGUGCAUGUCGGGGAUGGCGACAGAUAGCACGUGAGGCAAAAGAUGUGGACUCAUGAUGAGCAUUUAAAAGCUUUGAGCUGGGCGUGGUGGCUCACACCUGUAAUCCCAGCACUUUGGGAGGCUGAGGCGGGCAGAUCACCUGAGGUCAGGAGUUCGAGACCAGCCUGACCAACAUGGUGAAACCCUGUCUCUACUAAAAAUACAAAAAUUAGCCAGGUGUGGUGGUGGGCGCCUGUAAUCCUAACUACUCAGGAGACUGAGGCAGGAGAAUUGCUUGAACCUGGGAGGCAGAGGUUGCAGUGAGUCAAGAUCAUGCCAUUGCACUCCCC